UUUUGUUCGGAACAUCUGAGUCUCCCUGCGGGGACUCCUCGGCCCAGAGUAGUUUCUCCCUCUGUGCAAGAGAGGAUGUGAGAACCCCCGGGAGCAGACUGAAGCAAGGUUAUCAACCUCUCACCCACCCUGGGCCUUGCCACCAAAAAUAGCAAGGGCCAGGGUGUCAGCCCUAGGGAGGGGGUGGCUGGGGAAGCCUUUGAACCAGAAGAUACCUGGGAGCUAAGGCUGGGUUUGUUAAUGCGCAGGAAGGUGACAGUGGGUGGCCCUGGGUUUUCUUUGGCUCCAGGAAGGCUAAUAUCACCAGCUCCAAUCAGCAGCAGCAGGGCCUGGGAAGUGAGGCCAGGGCUUAGCUCAUAACCUGCUGUACGACACUGGGUAACUCAUCUCCUUGCUGAACUUCUGUUCUUUCUUCUACCGCCCGGUCAUCUGCAGCGUGGUCACUUACGGAUGGAUUCCUUCCUCCCGUGGCCUUCCUAGAUUCAUGCCCUAGAAGACUUGGUGGUUGUCUUGCCGCAGUACUGAUCUUCGCCCCUCCUUGGAGUGGGGUUCAGGCCUGGCCAGUCUGUGACCUGGGCUGAGAUCUUUAAAAAGCCGCAAGAAUUACGUGCACGGCUCUCCCCCUCUGCCAGAGACCUCAUCCGCUAAGCAAGGACUUUUCCUGUCUUCUUCCUUCCUGGCCCCCAGAAAACCUCGAGAUGGAAUUCGAAGGUGGAGGGGCAGCAGGAACAGGCCUAGAACAGCAUACUGGAAGACUGGGAAGGAAGUGAGCGCUGUCUGGGCUGUGAGGCAGACUGCCUGGUUAGGACUGGGACCUUGUGCCAGCCGAGAGAAGGAGUGAUACCUCAGGGUGAGCAGAAAUGGAAGAGAGUCUUCAUCGCUCCAUCCUCACCUCUGGAGUGAUCAUGUGCCGUGUGCGGUCUGCACGCUGCACAGCUGGUCCUGUGUGUAGGCCUGCUUCUUAUCUCACCUCGCCUUGCGUAAGUCAAAUGCAGUCCAUCAACCUACAUCCCGGGUACCCCAGGCCGAGCCGUCUGAGGGCAGCAUUGGCCUCUGGCCCCUUUUCUUGAGGCCCAUAUGGAGAUCCAGAACGACGGACAUGGGGUGAUGGAGGUCAGCCCUGGAGGAGCAUGGGAUACAAGCACAGCACAGCAAGCAGCCCAGAUGGCACCGGGU